rnacentral:rRNA from 1 species
UGAACGCUGGCGGUAUGCUUAACACAUGCAAGUCGAACGGAAACGAUACUAGCUUGCUAGUAGGCGUCGAGUGGCGGACGGGUGAGUAACGCGUAGGAAUCUGCCUGAUAGUGGGGGAUAGCCCGAAGAAAUUCGGAUUAAUACCGCAUAAUCUAUUCGUAGUAAAGUGGGGGACUUUCGAGCCUCACGCUAUCAGAUGAGCCUGCGUAAGAUUAGCUUGUUGGUAGGGUAAAAGCCUACCAAGGCGACGAUCUUUAGCUGGUCUGAGAGGAUGAUCAGCCACAUCGGGACUGAGACACGGCCCGAACUCCUACGGGAGGCAGCAGUGGGGAAUAUUGGACAAUGGGGGCAACCCUGAUCCAGCAAUACCGCGUGUGUGAAGAAGGCCUGAGGGUUGUAAAGCACUUUCAAUUGUGAAGAAAAGUUAGCGGUUAAUAACCGUUAGCCUUGACGUUAACUUUAGAAGAAGCACCGGCUAACUCCGUGCCAGCAGCCGCGGUAAUACGGAGGGUGCAAGCGUUAAUCGGAAUUACUGGGCGUAAAGCGUGCGUAGGCGGUUUAUUAAGUCAGAUGUGAAAGCCCCGGGCUUAACCUGGGAACUGCAUUUGAAACUGGUCAACUAGAGUAUGGUAGAGGAAAGUGGAAUUUCUGGUGUAGCGGUGAAAUGCGUAGAUAUCAGAAGGAACAUCAAUGGCGAAGGCAGCUUUCUGGACCAAUACUGACGCUGAGGUACGAAAGCGUGGGUAGCAAACAGGAUUAGAUACCCUGGUAGUCCACGCCGUAAACGAUGAUAACUAGCCGUUGGGGGGAUUUACCCUUUAGUGGCGAAGCUAACGCGUUAAGUUAUCCGCCUGGGGAGUACGGCCGCAAGGUUAAAACUCAAAGGAAUUGACGGGGACCCGCACAAGCGGUGGAGCAUGUGGUUUAAUUCGAUGCAACGCGAAGAACCUUACCUGGUCUUGACAUCCUGCGAACUUUCUAGAAAUAGAUUGGUGCCUUCGGGAACGCAGUGACAGGUGCUGCAUGGCUGUCGUCAGCUCGUGUCGUGAGAUGUUGGGUUAAGUCCCGUAACGAGCGCAACCCCUAUCCUUAUUUGCCAGCACAUCAUGGUGGGAACUAUAAGGAGACUGCCGGUGAUAAACCGGAGGAAGGCGGGGACGACGUCAAGUCAUCAUGGCCCUUACGACCAGGGCUACACACGUGCUACAAUGGGAAGGACAAAGAGCCGCGAAGCCGCGAGGUGUAGCUAAUCUCAUAAACCUUUUCGUAGUCCGGAUUGGAGUCUGCAACUCGACUCCAUGAAGUCGGAAUCGCUAGUAAUCGUAGAUCAGAAUGCUACGGUGAAUACGUUCCCGGGUCUUGUACACACCGCCCGUCA